rnacentral:rRNA from 1 species
AGCAGCCGCGGUAAUUCCAGCUCCAAUAGCGUAUAUUAAAGUUGUUGCAGUUAAAAGCUCGUAGUUGAAUUUCGGGAUCAAUUUACUGGUCGUGCUAUUGUACGUACUGGUUUUACUGAUUCCUCUCUUCUGAAGAACUAUGAUGUCAUUAAUUUGGUGUCAUAGGGAAUCAGGACUGUUACUUUGAAAAAUUAGAGUGUUUAAAGCAGGCUCACGCUUGAAUACAUUAGCAUGGAAUAACGAAAUAGGACGUUUGAUUCUAUUUUGUUGGUUUCUAGGAUCGACGUAAUGAUUAAUAGGGAUAGUUGGGGGCAUUAGUAUUCAAUUGUCAGAGGUGAAAAUUCUUGGAUUUAUUGAAGACUAACUACUGCGAAAAGCAUUUGCCAAGGAUGUUUUCAUUAAUCAAGAACGAAAGUUAGGGGGAUCGAAGACGAUCAGAUACCGUCGUAGUCUUAACCAUAAAACUAUGCCGACUAGGGGAUCGG